rnacentral:rRNA from 1 species
AAUUUUGCGCAAUGGGCGAAAGCCUGACGCAGCAACGCCGCGUGAUUGAUGAAGCCCUUCGGGGUGUAAAGAUCUGUCAGUGGGGACGAAAUUUGACGGUACCCACAGAGGAAGCACCGGCUAACUCCGUGCCAGCAGCCGCGGUAAUACGGAGGGUGCAAGCGUUGUCCGGAAUCAUUGGGCGUAAAGCGUUCGUAGGUGGCAUGUCAAGUCUGGUGUUAAAGCCCGAAGCUCAACUUCGGUUCGGCACUGGAUACUGGCAAGCUCGAAUGUGGCAGAGGUAGCGGGAAUUCCUAGUGUAGCGGUGAAAUGCGUAGAUAUUAGGAGGAACACCUGAGGCGAAAGCGCGCUACUGGACCAUUAUUGACACUGAGGAACGAAAGCCGGGGGAGCAAAUGGG